AAUAUAAUAUAAAGUAGAAUACACAUAUGUUUACAUUGCUUUUCUAUCACACAUCUAAAUAUUUAAUUAUGCUUGGGAUAAGAAAGAUUAAGGAAUGUGAUUGUAACAUCAAAUUGAUUGAGACAUUUUAUGUGUUAUCCAUACAUUAAGAAUGGAAAAAAUAAAACAAAAAUUAUAAAAACAAAGAGUUUAAAAAUAAAAAACAAAACUUGGAUAUUUUCAUGUUUUCAUAUACAUUCAGAAUUAAAGAUAUUAUUAUAAUUAUUAUUAUUGCCAUUUAUAUAGCCCCAACAGAUUCCAUAGCGCUUUACAAUAUUAUAAGAGGGGGGAUGUAACUAUAAAUAGGACAAUUACAAGAAAAAUUACAGGAACGAUAGGUUGAAGAGGGCCCUGCUCAAAUGAGCUUACAGUCUAUAGGAUCAACAUUUAACUGUUAAGGAAUAGAAAAGAGACACAAAUAUAUUAUUACUAUUACUGGACGAAAUAAAGGCAAUUUAAAAAAAAAUCGAAUAUACAUGAUUUUAAAGCAUUAGACAUAUGUUGCUAUGAGUUACUACCAAAAAUUACCGUUAACCUGGGGAUAAUUUACCAAAUGAUCAGUUCUAAAAAGUGACCUAAAGUACUGAAAGUGGUGCAAUUGCCAUGGAAACAGAUGGAACCACCAAACAAAUUCU